rnacentral:rRNA from 1 species
CGAACGCUGGCGGCGUGCCUAAUACAUGCAAGUCGAGCGGACAGAAGGGAGCUUGCUCCCGGAUGUUAGCGGCGGACGGGUGAGUAACACGUGGGUAACCUGCCUGUAAGACUGGGAUAACUCCGGGAAACCGGAGCUAAUACCGGAUAGUUCCUUGAACCGCAUGGUUCAAGGAUGAAAGACGGUUUCGGCUGUCACUUACAGAUGGACCCGCGGCGCAUUAGCUAGUUGGUGGGGUAAUGGCUCACCAAGGCGACGAUGCGUAGCCGACCUGAGAGGGUGAUCGGCCACACUGGGACUGAGACACGGCCCAGACUCCUACGGGAGGCAGCAGUAGGGAAUCUUCCGCAAUGGACGAAAGUCUGACGGAGCAACGCCGCGUGAGUGAUGAAGGUUUUCGGAUCGUAAAGCUCUGUUGUUAGGGAAGAACAAGUGCGAGAGUAACUGCUCGCACCUUGACGGUACCUAACCAGAAAGCCACGGCUAACUACGUGCCAGCAGCCGCGGUAAUACGUAGGUGGCAAGCGUUGUCCGGAAUUAUUGGGCGUAAAGGGCUCGCAGGCGGUUUCUUAAGUCUGAUGUGAAAGCCCCCGGCUCAAC